CUCAGUUCAGAUUGCAGGCUGCAACCCGCCUGCAUGAAGUCGGAAUUGCUAGUAAUCGCGGAUCAGCAUGCUGCGGUGAAUACGUUCCCGGGCCUUGUACACACCGCCCGUCACACCAUGGGAGCCGGUAAUACCCGAAGUCAGUAGUCCAACCUCGUGAGGACGCUGCCGAAGGUAGGAUUGGCGACUGGGGUGAAGUCGUAACAAGGUAAC
rnacentral:rRNA from 1 species